UACGAAGGGGGCUAGCGUUGUUCGGAAUCACUGGGCGUAAAGCGCACGUAGGCGGAUUGUUAAGUCGGGGGUGAAAUCCUGAGGCUCAACCUCAGAACUGCCUUCGAUACUGGCAAUCUCGAGUCCGGAAGAGGUUGGUGGAACAGCUAGUGUAGAGGUGAAAUUCGUAGAUAUUAGCUAGAACACCAGUGGCGAAAGGCGGCCAACUGGUCCGGUACUGACGCUGAGGCACGAAGGCCAGGGGAGCAAACGGG
rnacentral:rRNA from 1 species